UGGAAGUGAGAUACUGGGCUGGUUUGCAAAGUCUUGACCAGUCCUCACUUGACCUUCCUAAAGAAUUGUUGCUCUCUGAUGACCUCUCUGUAUUCCAGACCACAUUGAGGACAGAUACGGGGCACACACUA